UCGAGUUGCAAAACUCCCAAACCAUUGUGAACCUUACCUAUACCGUUCCUUCGGCGGGCGUGCCUCGCGCCCUAACCCGCCAGCUCUCGCUGGCGGACCCGCCGGAGGCCCCUAAACUCUUAGCUUUUUUUUGGCACUUCUGAGUAUAACUUUUUAAUAAGUCA
rnacentral:misc_RNA from 1 species